rnacentral:lncRNA from 1 species
AUGUGGCUGACACACUUGGCCCAGCUUUAAUGUGUAUGUGUGUGUGUGUUUUUAAAAAGAAACAAGUUAGCAUUUUAAACUCAUUAGUAUUGUUUUUUCCCAUGAUCUGUCCUGUUUCUUCUCUUUCCCAGUCUGAAGUGCUGAAGUUUUAGUGAAAAGUGUCUAGACAGACAUUCACUAAAUGAAUGUUUAGUGAAAAAUGACUAGACAGAGGCGUAGACUCAAAACCCUCCCUUGCGUGUUGGAGGCCUUGGGGGCUAUGCAGAGACCCAAGGGAGGGAGGGGGCCAAAUGAUCACAUCUUUGGAAUUGCAGAAGGGACCUACAACCUCCCCACCAUCACCCCAUCCCCUGCCCCAGAAUGGCAGCUGCCACACACACAAGCCUGCCUCCGAUGGCAACAACACCCACCACGGCAAUGGAAGCUUCCCCCACCCCCAGGAUGAGAACUCACCCCCACCCGAAGUCAUGACUGCACCCACCAGGGAGCCAAGUUCAGAUCCCACUGAUGGUGAUUCUCAGGUCUAAACAGAAAGUAGGAAGGGAGACAGUGUCCAGACAGAUAAAGGAGAAUUCAAGGGAGGGAGAGAAGCAGCAGCCUGGUCCCUCCUUGUGCUCCUGCUGCCCCCAUUCAGGUCAAUUCCUUGCUGAACAGACUUCAACAAUCAUCUUCUUGUCACUUUUUUUUGGGCUGCAUUAUAUAUAUGUAUGCCGUACCCAUGGCAGGCAGAAAUUCCUGGGCCAAGGAUCGAACCCACAUCACAGCGGUAACCAAAAAUGCCAGAUCCUUAACCCCCUGAACCACCGGAAAACUCCCUGUGCUUUAUGUUUUGAUUAUCUCCUCACCCUGGAGUCAUUACUGGAAGACUACACUAAAGCCAUCUCUUUGGGGGAAAGCUAAGUCUAAACAAGAAUGUGGAAGUGUAGGUUUUUGUUAAGAAAAAAAUAACCCAAAUUAGGCAACAGGAGCCCCAUGGAAAGACUGAAGAGACUAACAUGCAAAUUGUUUGAAAGAUGAUUUUUUGUGUUCAGGAGGUAUCCUCCUGCUAGCUGACUUCCAGUCUCAGUUGGCUGGACAGACUUCCCCCCCAAAAAUGCAAAAGUGUACUUUAGCCACAACACUAAGUUCGCCAUUAGUUGGUGUCUGAGUGACUUACAGGCUGGAACUAGCCAGGCAUUCCAAGCUGCAGACAGACCACCUGAGGGGACAGCCAUGGGUCCUUCCACGCCUGGCUGUUAUCUUGUUUCCAGUCUCUUAUGCUCUGCCCCCUCACAUUCCUAACCCUGGGGAGACCCCCAGUAUUUCAUAACAAGGAAUUCCUUCUGGACGCCAAGGAAGACCCUUCCCCUUCCUUCAGGCAGAGAUCUUGGAGAGCUCACUUCGUCUCCAGUGGUUACCUCAGAGAGGACUCAGCCCACGCUUUUGUAUUUUAACAGCUCGAUUGUGCUAUAAUUUGCUUCCGUAAAAUUCACUUAUCCAAAGUGUACAAUUCAGUGAUUUUUAGCAAAUUUGUAGCGUGUGCAUCGUUCACCCCAAUCUAAUUUUAGAACAUUUUCAUCACUCCCUCAGCCCCGGGUAAUCUGCACAGUUUUCUGUCUGUAUAGUUCUUUUUUUUUUUUUUUUUUGACAUUUCAUAUAAGUGGAAUUUUAAAAUAUGUAGCAUUUUGCUUCUGGCUCCUUUCACUUAGCAGUGUGUUUUUGAGGUUCAUCUAACUUGUAGCAAGUAUCAGAAGAUCAUUUUAUUGUUGAAUAGUAUUCUGCCAUAUGGAUAUUCCACGUUUUGUUUAUCCAUUCAUUCAUUGAUGGACAUUUUGAUUCUUUCAGUUUGGGGCUAUUAUGAAUAAUGCUGCUACGAACAUUGCAUAUGUUGAUAUGUGGACAUGUGUGUUCAUUUCUCCUGAGUAGAUGCCUAGGAGUAGAGUUGCUGGGUCAUGUGGGAAAAUCAUAGAUAUUUUUAAGAAAUUACCAAAUUAUUUUCCAAAGAGGUUGUACCAUUUUACCUUCCAAGUAAUGACUGAAGACUCCAGUUUCUCCACCUGCUCUCCAACACUUCUUAUCAUCUGCUUUGUUUUUUGUGAGAGUUCCAAGUCCAGGAACUGAACCCACGCCACAGCUGCGACACGAGCCAUAGCAGUAAAACUGCCUGAUCCUUAACCCGCUAAGCCACCAGGGAAUUCCACAUCUGAUGUGUUUUUUGUUUGUUUGUUUGUUUGUUGUUUUUGUCUUUUUAGGGCCGCACCCACACAGCAUCUGGAGGUUCCCAGGCUAGGGGUCGAAUCAGAGCUGCAGCCGCUGGCCUACGCCACAGCCACUGCAACUCGGGAUCCUUAACCCACUGAGCAAGGCCAGGGAUUGAACCCACCUCCUUAUGAAUACUAGUCCUAUUCAUUUCCACUGAGCCACGAUGGGAACUCCUGAUUUGUUUUAAUUUGUCAUCCACUUUUAAGACUAUGGAAAGAAAAUACUACAUGCAUGAAAAUAUUGAGGCUGCAGACAAGUUCUAUGAAUUGUUCAUUAAAUCUCACCAAGUGCCCUUUGUUUAUUUGUUCUUACAGCCAUUCAACAAAUAUUUCCUGAGCAUAUACUCUUGGCUGAAUUCGGUGGUGAAUAAGAUAGGAAACACCAUCUCCACUUACUCAGGAUGAAGUGUAUUAAACAAGAAAUAUUGUAAUAACAGGCUAAGUCUUCCUGGGGUAGCAGUAUUUGCUGUGCAAUGAUGCCUUAGGCAAAGCCCAGCUGUAUCAACUGAUGAGGAUCCCGCAAGCAUCAUUAGAAUCGGGUCCCAGUGUCUGUAAAUGUCAAAGGACAGAGAUGCCUCCCCCGUCAUGGGCACACUGGCGGGGUCAGUACCCACUGUCUUCUAGAGCUUGUGACUACAGGUGGCUGGAGAUUUUCUUUGGAGGCUCUGCCUCAUCUGGAGAUCUCAAUGUUUCCUGUAUCUCAGAACAGGUUGGCAGGGCUGUACCCUGGAGCCGAAGGCCCCCUGGCCUGCCCUGCGAAACAUGGCUGGGGAAAAACACAUGUUCAUUCUUACUAACCUCUAGCUGAAAUGUGGCAUUUCCUCUUAUUAUAAAUGUCGGAAAACCCCCAAGGUGUGUUUAGCAUCCUCAUGGCUGCUAAAAAUGGGUAAAAAUGGGUUUUUUUCAGAUCACACUGCAGUGGUGGCAGAUGUCACAUCACUUUUCCAAGAUGACACCCAUUAUGGGACCUGCAGCAACAUCUUGCUACCAAAUUCAUAGAGAAGCACAUAUAUUACAAUCAUUUUUAAAAUAUUUUGAUAAUUUCAAUAUAGAUGUUGUCUUUGUAACUAGAGUGGUUUUUUUGUUUUUGGUUUUUGUUUGUUUGUUUGUUUGUUUUUCUGCCUUAAAAUCCUACAUUCAGAGAAGGGACCCCAGGUGCAGAAAGAUUAGGAGCCCAUCUUUAUGGCUUCUCUUCUGAGACCAUCCGCCAAGUGCCCAGCACUCUGCUCCUUGCAGGAUGAAGUCCUUUCCUUCCCUGGGAGGUGGGGUGUGUCCGGGGCUGCUGCCUGAAGCCUGGGCCCAGAACCCAGGUGGUCCUUCUGGUUGCACUCACUCACCCACUCCCGCCUUUCCCACCUGCACCCAGGCUCCUCUGUCUGCUUUAGUCCGAGCGAGAUGAAGCGGAGGGGUGCUGUCCCACCCACCGCCUUCCUACUUUCUCAUUCCAUUUCAAAAGUGCACAUGAAGAAAGACAGCAACACAGAGAAGCAGGAACAGGGCCUCCCCAGCCCAGUAGGAGCACAAACUGGUUCUAUGUUCCUUCAGAGUAAAUAGCAAUACUGUUUCUUGUUCAAAUCUGCCGGGCUCGUGGGCUUCUGCAACCUCGGUUCUCUCUGAACCCCAAGUCCAUGGGAGGGACAGAGGAGAUUCCAAUUCCACCAGCCAGGCCAGUGUCUCAUCAGGGAGAGUAACCACUUUUUUCCUUUCCGGUAAACAGUCUUCAAUUUUUUUUUUUUUUUUUUUUUUUUUUGUCUUUCUGUCUUUUUGUGGGCCACAGCCGUGGCUUAUGGAGGUUCCCAGGCUAGGGGUCCAAUCGAAGCUGUAGCUGCUGGCCUAUAUCAUAGCCAUAGCAAUGCCAGAUUUAACACUCUGAGCCAGGCCAGGGAUCGAACUCACAACCUCAUGGUUCCUAGUCGGAUUUGUUAACCACUGAGCCACAAUGGGAACUCCCAGUCUUCAAAUUUUAAUUGUUAUCCAAUAAGGGUCAAUUUCUAGUUCCUGAAAAUAGCUUCUUCAGUACGGAUGUCCUUAGCAGAAGAUACACAUUUCUUCGCUACAAAAUACAGCUUACCAUGUUGACUUUAUGAAGUACAAUGAGUGAUUUGGUAAGAGUUGGGCUGAUUCUGUAGGUCCUAUAAAUAUGCAUAUUCACUGCACAGGUUGUAUUCUCUUAAUAAAUUUUAUUAACU